rnacentral:rRNA from 1 species
UGGGGAAUCUUGCGCAAUGGACGAAAGUCUGACGCAGCCACGCCGCGUGAGUGAAGAAGGCCUUCGGGUUGUAAAGCUCUGUCGGAGGGGACGAAAAGUAUUUGGGUUAACAGCCCAAGUACCUGACGGUACCCUUAAAGGAAGCACCGGCUAACUCUGUGCCAGCAGCCGCGGUAAUACAGAGGGUGCAAGCGUUGCUCGGAAUCAUUGGGCGUAAAGGGUAGGUAGGUGGUCUCAUUUGUCUGGGGUGAAAGCCUUGAGCUUAACUCAAGAAGUGCCCCGGAAACGGUGAGACUGGAGUCCUAGAGAGGCUAGCGGAAUUCCCGGUGUAGCGGUGAAAUGCGUAGAGAUCGGGAGGAACACCAGAGGCGAAGGCGGCUAGCUGGAUAGGCACUGACACUCAACUACGAAAGCGUGGGGAGCAAACAGG